rnacentral:rRNA from 1 species
GAUGAACGCUGGCGGCGUGCCUAAUACAUGCAAGUCGAGCGAACGGACGAGAAGCUUGCUUCUCUGAUGUUAGCGGCGGACGGGUGAGUAACACGUGGAUAACCUACCUAUAAGACUGGGAUAACUUCGGGAAACCGGAGAUAAUACCGGAUAAUAUUUUGAACCGCAUGGUUCAAAAGUGAAAGACGGGCUUGCUGUCACUUAUAGAUGGAUCCGCGCUGCAUUAGCUAGUUGGUAAGGUAACGGCUUACCAAGGCAACGAUGCAUAGCCGACCUGAGAGGGUGGUCGGCCACACUGGAACUUGGACGCGGUCCUGCCUCCUACGGGAGGCAGCAGUAGGGUAUCUUCCGCAAUGGGCGCAAGCCUGACGGAGCAACGCCGCGUGAGUGAUGAAGGUCUUCGGAUCGUAAAACUCUGUUAUUAGGGAAGAACAUAUGUGUAAGUAACUGUGCACAUCUUGACGGUACCUAAUCAGAAAGCCACGGCUAACUACGUG